rnacentral:misc_RNA from 1 species
GAAAUGCGAAACGUAAUGUGAAUUGCAGAAUUCAGUGAAUCAUCGAAUCUUUGAACGCACAUUGCGCCCGCCAGUAUUCUGGCGGGCAUGCCUGUCCGAGCGUCAUUUCAACCCUCGAACCCCUCCGGGGGGUCGGCGUUGGGGAUCGGGAACCCCUAAGACGGGAUCCCGGCCCCGAAAUACAGUGGCGGUCUCGCCGCAGCCUCUCCUGCGCAGUAGUUUGCACAACUCGCACCGGGAGCGCGGCGCGUCCACGUCCGUAAAACACCCAACUUCUGAAAUGUUGACCUCGGAUCAGGUAGGAAUACCCGCUGAACUUAA